AUGGUAUCUUCCAGAACCUUUAAAAUGGGGCUGGAUACACUGGGGACUCUUUUAGCCUGAACACUCUGGAGAGGUGACACAACGGAGGGCUGGCCUCCAAUCAACACCAGCUGCAACCUUCACAAAACAGAUUGUUAAUAUUUUUCAA